UCUAGUUUCGAUGCGGGAGUUAUAUUUUUUCCUUCCAUCUAAGCGUUUUUGACGUAUUCUGCGACAUUGUUAUGAAUGUAAAACAAUAUGUUCUGCAAUAUUCGACCUUUGCAAAUAAGUGCAUCCUCUCUCGAGGAUGAGUUUCUGUCUGCCUGAUUAGAAAACGAAGCAUUAAACUGCUGCGAAGGAAACGACCAGCAACAACAUAUUUUGUAUUGUCACAAAUAUUUGAUCGUUUUUCGAGAUAUAUCGCGUUUUCCGGCGAUUCUGAUAAUGGAUUAAGCCAAAAUAUGCAAAAUAUCUAGUUGAAACUUAAAAAAAUAUGGAGUAAAAAGCAAUGUAACCACAGCAAAAGGCCAAAGAUGUUAUAUAAAUCCCUACCCUCACUCCAGAGAGAGAGAGAGAGAGAGAGAGAGAGAGAGAGAGAGAGAGAGCACUGUGACAGUCAACAGAGGUCGCUAGCUGCCAAUGUCACUUAUCUACUGUCACUGCCUCAAGCUUCCACUUACAAAAUGGGCAAGAACACAGCUGGAGCCUUGCCGACUAUGCUACUAACAUAAAUGAGUCUGUUCCACCAAUGAAGCAGGCAGUCUAAUAUUUUGCCUCUGGUGAUUUCCUUCCGUCCACUGGAGACUUCUUUGGUACUGCUAGUGUCAGCUAGCAGGAUUGCUAAAAGGAUGUGUAUGGCACUUGACAACAAGCACAAAAGACAGUUUUGUUAGUUAUUUCACUUCUCGGGUGUAAUUAAAUGAAAAUACAACAAACCAUGCGUAUGUAUUACUAUAUUUCUAUUCUGACAUCAUUUGUAUUAAUUUUUAUAUCCUGGUCCUAAUUUUGAGCUGUGUGCUCUUUUUCUAACCAAUUUCUUCCCCCCUUCUCUGGUUCUUGUCACAUUACUUUUGAAGCAGCACCCUGCUAAUUCUUUCACAUUAGAGAACAGGUAUUUCUAUUCUGAAAACAAAACUGACAGUUUUACUGUGAGAUGACUGCAGAA